rnacentral:rRNA from 1 species
UACGUAGGGUGCGAGCGUUAAUCGGAAUUACUGGGCGUAAAGCGUGCGCAGGCGGUUUUGUAAGCCAGAUGUGAAAUCCCCGGGCUUAACCUGGGAAUGGCAUUUGGGACUGCAAGGCUGGAGUUUGGCAGAGGAGACUGGAAUUCCCGGUGUAGCAGUGAAAUGCGUAGAUAUCGGGAGGAAUACCGAUGGCGAAGGCAGCCCCCUGGGCUGACACUGACGCUCAGGCACGAAAGCGUGGGGAGCAAACAGG